GCGGGACUAUCGGUUCCCUAGGUUACCUGUGUGAUUGACAUCGCGCAUCCUGCAGCUUAUCGCGGCAGCGUAUCUCGGAUGGUCCCGCUCCCACCCCCUCUCCACCUCCUCCUGGUGACUGUGGAGAAAUCUGGAAGAGAGAGGAGAGACGCGGAGAACAGAGGAACAACAGCAAGGCUGAUUCUUUAAAGUUCUUCUCUCUCUUUCCAUACCGGCAAGAUGCACACUGGAGUGCUGGAGGAAGCUGGAUGAAAGGAGCCGAAAAGGGGGAUUCUUUAUUGGAGGAUACCUUUAUGAAGACACCAAUAAAAGUGCCAGCAAAUUAACUUCUACUAACAAAGCAGCAAACUGUCAGAAACAUGUCCAGCCUAGUGUUGUACCCAUAAGGCCUUGCUGCGGCCCCAUGGGUGGAAUUACCUGGAGGCAGAAAUGAUCCUGACCAAUAGCAGGCCGUCACCUGGGGAUAUAAUCUCCUUCCAUCACUGAUCUUCAGGUUGCGUUGGACCAAAGCUUCCCUGUGCCACCAUCUGAAACCAUAUUGGUGAACCCUUCAGGUAGGACAAAGUUUUUCUUUACCUUCUACUUUAUUUAAGCACCAGCAUCUCCACAUUAAUAUUAUAGACUAUCACAGUGAUGGAUGGUGAUAAAAGA
rnacentral:lncRNA from 1 species